UGCAAGUCGAGCGGAGAGAGGUAGCUUGCUACUGAUCUUAGCGGCGGACGGGUGAGUAAUGCUUAGGAAUCUGCCUAUUAGUGGGGGACAACAUUUCGAAAGGAAUGCUAAUACCGCAUACGUCCUACGGGAGAAAGCAGGGGAUCUUCGGACCUUGCGCUAAUAGAUGAGCCUAAGUCGGAUUAGCUAGUUGGUGGGGUAAAGGCCUACCAAGGCGACGAUCUGUAGCGGGUCUGAGAGGAUGAUCCGCCACACUGGGACUGAGACACGGCCCAGACUCCUACGGGAGGCAGCAGUGGGGAAUAUUGGACAAUGGGCGCAAGCCUGAUCCAGCCAUGCCGCGUGUGUGAAGAAGGCCUUAUGGUUGUAAAGCACUUUAAGCGAGGAGGAGGCUACUUUAGUUAAUACCUAGAGAUAGUGGACGUUACUCGCAGAAUAAGCACCGGCUAACUCUGUGCCAGCAGCCGCGGUAAU
rnacentral:rRNA from 1 species